rnacentral:rRNA from 1 species
AACGUAGGGGACGAGCGUUGUCCGGAUUUAUUGGGCGUAAAGAGCGCGCAGGCGGCUUCGCAAGUCGGGUGUGAAAAUCCGGGGCUCAACCCCGGACCUGCAUUCGAUACUGCGUGGCCAGAGGCAGGCAGGGGAGAUCGGAAUUCCUGGUGUAGCGGUGAAAUGCGCAGAUAUCAGGAGGAACACCGGUGGCGAAGGCGGAUCUCUGGGCCUGUCCUGACGCUCAGGCGCGAAAGCUAGGGGAGCGAACAGG